GGGCUUGUAGUCUAGCGGUCAUGACGUCGCUCUCACACAGCGGAGGUCGCCGGUUCAAAUCCGGCCAGGCCCA
rnacentral:tRNA from 1 species